CGCAGUCAGGGGGCCGCUCUUCAGAAAGUGGUGUAAUAGCAAACUACUCUGAAAAAAUCGUGAUGGUGUUCAGCUCUUGCAUUGAAACGGGUUAAAGAGAUGUUACCAAAAUGGGACAAAAGGUAAAAGCCGCAUUCCCCACAGCAACUGAACUAGAAACAACAUUAACUGCAUUCUUCAGAUAGGCUAAAUGUGACCGCGAGGAACCGAUAGGGAAGGUGGAAUACUGAUUCUGUGUCUGUGGGCUGUAACAGAAAUCGGGGUUGUACUGAUAAUUUUGUCUUCACCUGGAGCUGGUGUACUUGGUCACCGCCUUUGUCCCUUCAGACACGGCGUGCUUGGCCGGCUCCCCGGAGCUGAUGGUCUGACGGGAACGGAUUAAAACCAUACUCCAGAAUUCACUUUUCAUACAAGUAUUCUGGAAUGGCAAUCCUGGUCAUGCAGACAGAAUCUGCAACGUGUACUUCUGAACAAGUUAUCAUCAAAAGGAUUGCAUGGACAGAUUUCAUGAUUGAGAUAUGGAAAUCACUGGCAUAUAUUGCUCAUUCUUAAGGCCAUGCAUAGUGUGGGUUAGUGGUGUUUGCUGCAUUGAGUUUACUAUUUCUACACUGAAUUCAAAUUCUCCUGUUGUCACGCAGGUAAUCUAAACUCACAUUCUCCGUAUUAUCAGCUCCAUGCAACUAAUAUUACUUAAAACAUAUUGUGUCUAACUUUCAGUUUUUAGGUUUGGUAUUGCUUUGUAAAACCAAAUUAGAAUUUGUAGUAUUUAUUGCACUAACCAUAAACUGAUAAAACACAAACUCUAAUCACAAAAGGACUACACCCUCGUGUUUAAGGAAUCAUGUUUUUUCUAUUUCUUCAUAGAAUAUAAAGGAAGGGGUUGGAUCUGACUAUUUAAUUCUUAGAUUAGAACGUUUAAUUGAUAUUUUCUUUGGAAUUUAACAAUUAAUGAUCUGCUUGUAUUUUAAGUCAUUACUUAUAUGCAUGUAACUGUUUAUAAUGUUUCCUAGUGGUUACAAUUUGUUUGUGGAAGUUCAUUGUGUUUCCCUAGUGGUUAUGCAAAGUAUUAUUCUGAAUAGAUCUGGAAGCAACUUUGUUCUGCAUUGGUUGAAUAAUGGCUUUCUCAUUGUUUAACUCUUAUCUACAAAUUUGAAUUAAAUUUUUCCUAUCUAUGGGUUUAAAAUAGCUGCACUGCAAGACAGUACCAUCUUAGCAUUCCCUUCAUCUAGUAGACCUCUGUCACUGUUUCCAUUUUCCUUUGUUCUAUCAAUGUUAAAUAAAAUGUUCAUGAAGCUACAAGUUUUGCCCCCCCUUCCCUGAUUUCUGAAAGAACCCUGGAUUGUAACAUCAGAAUCCAAUAGAGGUUUGCUAUCUGACAACCAAUCUACUUCUCAGUAUGGUACUUCUAUGUCCUUCCUUUUGUUAUUAGCUUUUCACUUGACCUCCUCCAAAUAUCUUGCAUUGGUUUAUUAACCUCUUUCCUAUAUCCACUCUAUUCCCAUUCAUCAUGCAGGUCUGCACCACUCUGCCUAUUUUCCUAAUCUUAGAAUGAGGCCCAUAUUAGCACUUUGCACGGUAAUUGAAGGGCCUCCAUUAUCCACCAUUUAUUAAAAUUUCAGCUAAAACACAGUACAAAAUAAUUUAAUAUCUCCCAAACUUUUGAAUGUUAAAUCAAUAUUUUUAUAUUAUGCAUUCACAGUAAUAUUUUUACAUGAAUAAAAUUAACUCAUUUGCUUUGAAUAACCACUCACUCCCUCAGCACCACACCAUCUCAUAGCAAAUAAAAUAAUUUUGAAGAAUUUACUCUUGUCGCACAGCCAAAUGCAGUAAACAAUGUUAACCAACAAGGUACCAGCAAAAGGAAACAACAUAAAUAAUGUUAUUAUCCUUUGGUAAUUUUAGCUAAGGUUUGACUUGAUCUGCAGCACAAAAAAAGUCUUCUUAAAACUGUGGGCUCCUUCAGAUUUUACUAUAAAUUUAUAUGGAAAGAAUAUAUCGGGGGUUUUUAAACAGCUAGCAUAUCAUGGCUCAGUUAGCACAGGGUGCAUCCCACUUCAGCACAAAUAUCCAGACUAUUAUUCUCAACAAGUUCAUAUUUGUGUUUCAGUUUGCUGCACAUGAAACAUAAUUGCAUGAUGUGAGCCUUGCAGUGGAACAUAUCAAAGUCAGAGUUAAGUUGUAGCUCAGCAGUUUUCAGCACUAGGGAUGAGGAAUGAGGUCAACUACGACUGAUUUUACAUUUCAGAUUUAAGAGUUUGAUGUUUGGUGUUCUCUUACCUUUGAAUUAGAAUUUUAUGGCUUCAAAUCUCUGUGCUGAAUCUUGAAGUAUUCUAAACUAAUUUUUUAAUGCUGUACUGUAGGAGUAUUAAAAUGCCAGUGGUGUCAAUUUUGAAAGACGUGAUAAGUUGGGUCAUAAACUACCCCAUAGCCUGAUUCAAAAAAAACCCAGCAGGUUUGUACUCUCAAAAUGCUAGAAGAACUCAGCAGUCAGGCAGCAUCAAUGGAAAGGAAUAAACAGUGUAUGUUUU